GACCCAGUGGUGAAAUGUCCAGCACGUCUGCACAAUUUAGUCUGGUCGGAAUUUUGAGGUUCUGCAGGAGCUCCCUGUUCGAUUCAGGGCUGGGUCA